UAAUUUAUAACUGGUGGAAAAUGGAAAGGUCAUUUCUUGCGGAAACUGGUGACAUCUGUGUGUUUCUUUAAAAUUUGUGCCAAAAAAAUAUCUACCAGAAAUCAGCUUGUUCCAAAUAACAUUAGACCUUUCUUGUACUGUAUUUUUUUUCUACCUAGUUGAUAAAUCGAGAGGUUGUUUUUUAAUUUGUUUUUAUAGUUUUCUUAAUAAAUGGAAAAUACUGGCAAUUUUUCUGUACAUUUUGUUGAUU